GUACUGAUAAAAGGUGAAAUUAAUUUUUUAGUAUGUGGAAGCGUAAAGUGCAAGGUUUAAAUUGAAGCUAUUAAGGUAAAGGAAUGAACCAGGAUUAGAUACCCUGUUACACUUUAUUUAAAUGAUAAUUACCUGGGUACUAAGCAGUUAUUAUCUUGAAACUCAAAGGAUUUGGCGGUAACUUAGUCUAUUUAGAGGAACCUGUCCUGUAAUCGAUAGUCCACGCAAUAUUUUACUUUAUCUUGUAGGAAACAGUUUGUAUACCGUCAUUAUUAGAUAACUUUAAAAAAAUGUAGAGUUAUUGCAAUAGUUUAGCUAGUAAAUUAGAUCAAGGUGCAGCUUAUGGUAAAGUAGAGAUGGGUUACAAUAUAAUAAGCAUAGACGGAGUAAUGAAUGAAGGUUCAUUGUGAAGGUGGAUUUAAGAGUAAAAAGAUUUUAAUAAGAUCUUUUGACUUUAGCUCUAGGUUAUGUACACAUCGCCCGUCGCUCUCGUUAAUUAAAGC
rnacentral:rRNA from 1 species